AUUGAACGCUGGCGGCAUGCUUUACACAUGCAAGUCGAGCGGCAGCGCGGGCUUCGGCCUGGCGGCGAGUGGCGAACGGGUGAGUAAUGCAUCGGAACGUGCCCAGUAGUGGGGGAUAGCCCGGCGAAAGCCGGAUUAAUACCGCAUACGACCUGAGGGUGAAAGCGGGGGACCGAAAGGCCUCGCGCUAUUGGAGCGGCCGAUGUCGGAUUAGCUAGUUGGUGGGGUAAAGGCUUACCAAGGCGACGAUCCGUAGCUGGUCUGAGAGGACGACCAGCCACACUGGGACUGAGACACGGCCCAGACUCCUACGGGAGGCAGCAGUGGGGAAUUUUGGACAAUGGGGGCAACCCUGAUCCAGCCAUGCCGCGUGCGGGAAGAAGGCCUUCGGGUUGUAAACCGCUUUUGUUCGGGAAGAAAUCCUCUGGGCUAAUACCCCGGGGGGAUGACGGUACCGGAAGAAUAAGCACCGGCUAACUACGU
rnacentral:rRNA from 1 species